rnacentral:snRNA from 15 species
UUUCAAUUGCAAGCGCACUUUGCUUACCAGUGAAGAUUCGUCCGAGGUAGCAAUCCUGCCAGUUGGACGUUAUAGCUUUGGCCUGCUUCAACCUGCUUUCUGAGUUAGUCGGGAGUGUGUGAAACCGUCUUCGUCG